GAGCUAGAGGGGAUAGAAAAAGAAGCCAGUGUGAAGCUAUUGGACAUCCCCACGGAUGAGGGGCUCCAUUCAUCCAUCCAUAAACCAUGCAGUCACCUGUUAUCUACCCUUCGAAAGGUCACCAGAAUGCAAGAGUGCAUAGUCCAACUCUACAAGCACAUGUCAAGCCUCUUCUUGUAUUAUGUCUGCUAACGUCCCAUUGGACAAAGAAAGUCCUGAGACUAAGCCUGAAGCCAAGGGUCAGGGAAAGUACACUCCAUCCUCCAUGAGGCCAGAGCAAAUCAUAUGAGCAAGCUGAACAUCAGUGAGAACUAUGUCCUUCCCAAGGAGAAGGGUGGCAAAGAGGAUAUGAAGGCAGACAUUGACUGUUGGGUGCAUGCCAGUGCUGUCAGAGUGGAGUGUUCCCUGAGAGGGCAGGGGCCGGGAAUCCUUUCAUAUUUCUAUGUAACUCACAGGCAACAGGCUCUUGGAAUGCGUCCCCUUUGGGGUCAGACCCAGUAGGGAUAAAAGCCUUCUGGUGCGGUUUAGAAACACUCUUACUAGAAGUUUUUUUUUUUUGAGACGGAGUCUCACUCUGUCACCC
rnacentral:lncRNA from 1 species